rnacentral:piRNA from 1 species
AUGCCAAGCAGAGAAUCAGAGCACCUGGUGU